GUCUCAUCACAGGAAGUCUGGAAUGAGGACUUGGUCAAGUGUUUAUUUGAUGACUCAAAACUUGGAUGCUGUUGGCAGACAUUUUGAAUCAUGGAGGUUUAAGGCAGCAAAAGAAUGACUGUGAGCUGCGCAAAGAGAAACUAAGAUUUCACUGAGCUACUUUGUUAUUUCAAUUAGUGUAAAAACAGCCUAUGGACUUGGAACCAUCUGCUCCAAUCACCUUUAACUCCAAUAAACUAUGUUAAUGUU